rnacentral:rRNA from 1 species
AAAAAACCAUGCCAAAAAAAAAACCUACGAUCGAUGCCUCGUGCCCACAGCAGAUCGUUCUCCGCCGCCCUCCCAUCGAUCUGCCGCCGAUCCCUGCGGAGCUUCCCUCCCCAAUCCGAUCUGACGGAGAGAGUGCCAGAUCCGGCCGGGGGAGCCGCCGUAGAGCCUCCACGUCGGUGGAGCAGCACCUCCUGCCACGGGCGCCGCCGCCACCUCCUGCCUCACGACCCUUUGCCGCGACUCCGCCCCCAAGCGCGGCUCCCGCACGCAACCCGAACCCUAUCCCGCCAUGCCUCGCUGCCUCGCCGCUUGAGCCGCGCUGAUGGAGCCCGAGCAGCGGUGGCCGACCCCGUCGCCGCCGCCGAGCCUGUGGACGAGGAGAAGGAGAAGGAGGAGGAGACGGAGGCGGCCGAGGACGAGGAGGACACGCUGCUGGACCGCGCGCAGCCUGAUCUCACGGGUCCCUUUGCACAUGUGCAGUUCGUCAAUGGACCAAUGCCUAAUCUCCCCAAGGUUGAUGUUUCACUGGACCCGGUGAAGGAGUUGAGCAGAGUAAUAUCUGAGCGAAAAAAUUGAGGGGCGUGCUUUGGUUGUGCUCUCAGCCAGGUUAUUUUACGAGGGUUGUGUGCACUGAACCCCAUUUCUCUGGACCAAGGGACGAUGAACAAGAUGGGAAUGAGGAGGAUGCUACUAAUCCGGAGUAGUAAUAUUGGAUUACAGGUCAUGGGUUAGUAGUUAACUGCAGAAAUCAGAAUAUUGGAUAGCAGUAACUAAGGCCAUUGGCAAUUUCUAUCAUAUAUCAUAAUUUAUUUGUGUGAUUCCUUUACCAACUACAUGUUUCUAUUUGUUUCCUAUAUUUUGUUUGUUCCUGAAUAUUUUAUGAAUUGUGUGUUUCUAUUUUAAUACAUAAGACUCUUUUUCAUGCAAUUUACUCAAUGGCCUAUAUGAGAAGCCCUAAAUAAAGCUAUUCCUCAUUUGUACGCUUUCUUACUUAUAUAGAUCAAAAUAUGGAAUUCUCUGCAGGUUAACUAAUACAUGCAUCAGCUUUGUAUCAUAAAGAUUUCACCAUCCCAAGGUAAUGGAAAUAAGUUCACAAGAUUCUCAUGUUGAGGUCUGUACAAAGAGAUACAAGGCAAUGUCUGUGUGCUGGAAGGAGAAACUCACUGCCAAAGCUAUAAUCCCUGAUGCUAAAGCCUGCAUGUUCAGAUCUGCAGAGUUUACUCAUAUUACUGUAUGAAUGAUUAAUACAGAGGGAGCCCUUUUGUCAGGUCAUUUAAUCAUUAAAUCAUACGCACAUUAUCUCAGUUCCCAGUUUUGGCUCACUUUCUUGAUGCAUCUCGGAUGAGAGGAAAGGAAUGGAUAAUCUGACAAGCAAUGUUCGGGCAUACCCUUAUAUUUACGUCUGAUGAAAUGCUGCGGGUGCAAACUAAUCAAGACUGCUGCCAUGAGCAAAAGAGCAGACAUUACUUAAUGAGAAAACAAUAAAAGAAUUUUCCGUGACUACGUACCACGACGAGUCAAAGACGAUGAAAGCACUACUCCAUUGGUGGUGUUAGCAAGUGGAGUCUGGAGGGAGAACAACACAAAGUAGGAAAUUGAUUCCCUCGCCCUUGCUUGCUUCAACGACCCCGCCCGUCUUGGUGGGGUCGAUUCCCCCAUCGCCCGACUCAUCUCCGACGAGUAUGGCGUCAGUGGGUACGCCCCGCCGUUCGUAUGCUUGGCGGGUCCCAGAACACCCGUGACGUGUAUGAGCUUGACUAGGGCGAGGGGCUCGUGCUCGUGCUCGAGCUCGACAAGACGCACUUCAAUCUCGUCACCAACUACGAGCUGGACUGUGAGACUCCAGAGCAGGCGGGGGCGACAAAGACGAAAGUGGGGGCAGUUCGAGCUUGUCGCUGCCGGAGACCCUGGAGAGGUGCGCGAAGAGACCUGGUUAGAUGUGUUGGCCACCACUGGUAAACUGGACUAAUAACAAAUCGGAUGUCAUCUCUCAUGUUGCCGAUUCAACCCUGGAUGAUGUUGCGCGGCCCGCGGCCAUGGACGAUGUGCUGUUGGACAACGACGCGAGGCCGAGGCAGCCAAUGUGAAUGACCAC